UCAGAUUGAACGCUGGCGGCAGGCCUAACACAUGCAAGUCGAGCGGUAGAGAGGUGCUGCACCUCUGAGAGCGGCGGACGGGUGAGUAAUGCCUAGGAAUCUGCCUGGUAGUGGGGGGAUAACGUUCGGAAACGGACGCUAAUACCGCAUACGUCCUACGGGAGAAAGCAGGGGACCUUCGGGCCUUGCGCUAUCAGAUGAGCCUAGGUCGGAUUAGCUAGUUGGUGAGGUAAUGGCUCACCAAGGCGACGAUCCGUAACUGGUCUGAGAGGAUGAUCAGUCACACUGGAACUGAGACACGGUCCAGACUCCUACGGGAGGCAGCAGUGGGGAAUAUUGGACAAUGGGCGAAAGCCUGAUCCAGCCAUGCCGCGUGUGUGAAGAAGGUCUUCGGAUUGUAAAGCACUUUAAGUUGGGAGGAAGGGCAGUAACCUAAUACGUUGCUGUCUUGACGUUACCGACAGAAUAAGCACCGGCUAACUUCGUGCCAGCCGCUGC
rnacentral:rRNA from 1 species